CAUAGAAAGCAUGUCUAUAGGAACUACUUUAAAAUAAUUAUGAUUUUGCUUUUUUCACUGUCAUAAAGAAGAUUAAAAACAGAAAAGAAUAGCUUACUAGAGUGUACUAUAACCAGUUCUAGCUGUUUUCUUGAACAGUAGCACAUUUGGUGCAAGUUGAAGACAUUCUGGGUAUUGCUGUUGUAUUUUCUUGUUCUGUGUUUGCUUUAUUUGACUGUGGUUUCUUGUGAAAGUUUUGUCAUAAUUGAACACAGCUCAGGGUUUUAGUUUUCAUAGCUAUUUUCUACUUUCUUUCUGAAAUUUUGUUGGGUUUUUGCUUUGUUUCUUGCAUGAAAAUGUAAGUUCUUUUUCCCCAUUUUCUUUUUUUGGGCCAAGGAGGGUGAGUGAUGUGGUGGGCAGAGGGGCCAGUGGGGGGGUCUUUUGUUUAAUUCUUUCCAAAUUAAUGUGAAGAUAAUGUUUGAUAGAAUCUUAUUGGGAAGACAAAGUGUGUGAAGCACAUUCAGCAGAGUGGGAGAAAAGGUGAAGAAAUGAAUGAGAGACAACCUCAAAGGCUUUGUGGUUGAGUGGGCAUUUUCUUUUAGCUCUUUGAUCGGAACUGUAGAUUUGCCAAGAAGCAGUUUCCAAAGAAACUGCUUUCACCAGCUUGCUUGAAACAAGCUUUAAAAAAGUUUUGAGGAGAUGAGAAGCAGCCAAAGCUUUGUUUGAUUUCUGAUGAGAACAGUGGGGGUUUUCCAAAUGCAAAGAAUAAUGGAAUGACCAAUACACGUUGUGGAAGCAAGCGUGAAAUGAAAGCUCCAAGUUUGGUUGCUCGGCUCAUGGGUUUGGAAUCGAUGCCAGCAGGAUUAGGAAGUAAGCCCCAAAAGGCUUCAGCUUCUGAAACUUGGAGCAAUGUGGCAGACAAACUUGGUGCUCGACCUGGCAGAUCUGAUAAAGAAGAUAUGGAUUUUGAGAUAGCUGAAAUAAAGAGUUCAGAACCAGGUUUGCAAAGUCUUAGAGCUAAAUGUGCUCUCACUUAUCCUACUAGAUAUUU